UACAGAGGGGGCAAGCGUUAUUCGGAAUUAUUGGGCGUAAAGGGCGCGUAGGCGGCCAUUCAAGUGACGGGUGAAAGCCCUCGGCUUAACCGAGGAACUGCCUGUCAGACUGGAUGGCUUGAGACCGGGAGAGGUGAGUGGAAUUCCCAGUGUAGCGGUGAAAUGUGUAGAGAUCGGGAGGAACACCGGUGGCGAAGGCGGUCUUCUGGACGGUGACUGACGCUGAGGCGCGAAAGCGUGGGGAGCAAACGGG
rnacentral:rRNA from 1 species